CGCCUAAUACAUGCAAGUCGAACGAGAAAGCACUUCGGUGUGAGUACAGUGGCGGACGGGUGAGUAACGCGUAGGAAUCUACCUAGUAGUGGGGGACAACUCGAGGAAACUCGAGCUAAUACCGCAUACGCUCUUAGGAGGAAAGUGGGGGAUCUUCGGACCUCACGCUAUUAGAGGAGCCUGCGUUAGAUUAGCUUGUUGGUGAGGUAAAGGCUCACCAAGGCGACGAUCUAUAGCUGGUCUGAGAGGACGAUCAGCCACACUGGAACUGAGACACGGUCCAGACUCCUACGGGAGGCAGCAGUAGGGAAUCUUGGGCAAUGGGCGAAAGCCUGACCCAGCGAUGCCGCGUGUGCGAAGAAGGCCUUAGGGUUGUAAAGCACUUUCAGUCGUGAAGAAAAGCUACGAUUUAAUAUGUCGUGGUCUUGACGUUAGCGACAGAAGAAGUACCGGCUAACUCCGUGCCAGCAGCCGCGGUAAUACGGAGGGUACGAACGUUAAUCGGAAUUACUGGGCGUAAAGCGCGCGUAGGCGGUUUGAUAAGUGGGAUGUGAAAGCCCCGGGCUCAACCUGGGAACUGCAUUCCAAACUGUCAAACUAGAGUGUGGUAGAGGGCGGUAGAAUUUCCUGUGUAGCGGUGAAAUGCGUAGAUAUAGGAAGGAAUACCGAUGGCGAAGGCAGCCGCCUGGACCAACACUGA
rnacentral:rRNA from 1 species